AAUGCUAACUGGCUCUUCAAGGCUCCUCCAGGUCCCUGAGCAACCAGGCUGGUCCCUCCACUGCCGGGCCUCGGUGCAGAGAAGCAGCCCGCGGAGGCCACCGACGCCCACACUGUCCGCAGGAGCGCAGCCAAGGUGACAUUGUGGCAUGCGGCCCCCGGCUGCCCCCGCAAUGCCAUCAGCAUUAUUCAGGAAGCUUCUGCUGCCGUGACGUGCCAUUGCCCAGCUGACCCAGUGAGAAAGCUGGAUGUGCUGCAGGCCAACCGAAAACACCAAAGCCGAGCCGACCCACAGCAACGCGAGGGAGUUGUUAAAACGACUUAAAAAAAGAAGAAAAAGAGAAGUCUCUGGCCUCGUCAGCGUAGCAUGGAUUCAAAUGGCAAAGCACGGGAAAGCUUCCAAAGAAUUUUUGACUCAAGGAGGCAUAGUGGUCCCAAGAGCCUGUCCCUUUGGCAGCGGGGCCAGAGCGAGCUUCCCAUAAAGAGCGUCACUUACCGCCACGAGUUACGAGAGCCUAGCAGCUCCUUGGCGGUCUUCAUUCGCCACCGCCUGCCGCCUUUCAUCAACGGGGGUGUGACGGUCAGCGGGAAGACCCCAGGACAGUGCUCUUCGCCUCCCUCGGCGCGGGGGCCGCCCGUGUUCGUGGCUCCGGAAGAGGAGUGCUCUCCACACGGGGUCCUGGGCCUCGGCCCCUUGUCCCUCCUGCCUCCCUAUGUGACACCUGCUCCUCAGGAGGACACAGCCCCUCCCCCCCGUGGGUUUCGGCAGACAUACAGCAAGAGCAAUAAAUAAACCAUCGUUGCUGAAAGCACAGAAAUCUGGAGGCUACUUGUUACUGCAGCAUAACCUAGGCUCUCUGGGCUGAUACAUCACUUGUCAAGUGCAUUCUUUGAAAAAUGGCUGGAUCCACAAAGGGCAAAAGGAAAGCAAAGCGGAAACAGAUGAAGAGAGACGAGACCCACGUUAGAUAACAGCCUCUUUGCUGGCCUCAGGUCCUGGGAGCCGAAGUCUAGAGGGCCAAAAUGAAGUUUUGUCCCUAGGCCAUGUGAACAAAUAACCCACAACACAAUGAAACAAGAGCUCUAGGAGAGAAGAGUUGAAUGGCAGGGAGGAGGAACGGCCCCCAGAGAACCUUUUACUGCAUCAGUUGAAUCUUAGAGAUCUGGAACGACGUAAAGAGAAGGCUUUGGAGUAUGUGGUAAUGCGGCCUCUUGUUGGUGACGACUCUUGCGGGCGCUGCUGGGGGCUGAGGCAGCCCUGCCAUGUCACACGCCUUCACAGUAAAUACGCCUCAGUGAGUCAGCAGGUGCAAGGAGGGGGAAGGCUUCCCUCUAGCCACAAAGAGAAAAGAGAGAAGGCUUGGAAGGCUAGAGAGGUUAUAUUCCUGUGUCCUUCCAGAGAACAACAGAACACACUCUGAUACGACGUACCGACUGUGUCACUUCUGAGGUGAGGCGUUUUUAAGAAGUAAAACUAAGGGGCACCUGGGUGGCUCAGUUGGUUAAGCGACUGCCUUCAGCUCAGGUCAUGAUCCUGGAGUCCCGGGAUCGAGUCCCGCAUCGGGCUCCCUGCUCAGCGGGGAGCCUGCUUCUCCCUCUGACCCUCCCCCCUCUCAUGUGCUCUCUCUCUCUCAUUCUCUCUCUCAAAUAAAUAAAUAAAAUCUUAAAAAAAAAAAAAAGAAGUAAAACUAAAAGCAAGUGAUUGCUGUUCAGCAUGGUGCUCCAUCGGGACCCCAAGGCCAAGGGCGAGGCCAAGACGGGUUGUCUCAGAGGUAAAAGUAAGCAAAUGCCUUAAAGUGCUUGUCUGGGGGCUGGGAGAUGGAGUGUGGCAAGAAAAGAGAGAAAUGUGUUAACUCGAGAAAGAUCAGAGAACUCAGAGAACGGGAAAUCUCUUUUUAUCUUGAAAAGGUAAUCAUGUUCUUGACUAAGAGUAGUUAACAGCUCAUUUUGAGGGAAACUGAAUGAAUGGAAUACUAGAAAGAAUUUUCUGGAAAGUGUUUAAGGCUUGGCUGAAUGAACAGCAUGAUCCACCCUUGGGGAGAAAUGUAGUUGUUCCGCAGUACCUGUGGGUACCUCAAGGGUUUCGGCUUGAGAAGGAUUCUUUGCACCAACUGGGUGUUUCUGGUAAUCCGGUGAGAAGCCUCUGGGAAAGAGCCAGUGAGCAUAACUAAUUUUUAAAAGUCAGCGUCAGAGGCGACGGGUGUGUCUGGAGACAGCAAGCUGUCUGUCCCUUGGGGCCAACCACCAGAGCGCUCGUGUACUUGCGGUGAGAAGCCAAAAGGGGUGUUUCCCCGCAAACAGGAGCACAAGCAGCUGGCUGGGGAUGCUCCCUAGAGGUUGAAAAGGGCAGAGAUUCUUGGCCUCUGCCACUUGGCUGACAGCUUGUGGACCUCAGCUGUGGGGCCAGCCCAGCCUGGGGUGCUCUGCCGUCUCCCCCCACCAACUCCCGGGGGUGCUUAUGCAGGUGGACGCUCUGUGGGAAAGAGAACGGAAGAGCUAGCAGGCUUUGGGAAGCACCAGGAAGUCCUUGAACGCGACAGGCCAUGAGACCUGAGAGCAGAAGUCCUGAGGAGGGACUUCCCAUAACGACACCAAAGAGAGCACCAGGCCCUAAGGACAGUGGGCCACAUUUUCCCACUGCACUCUUCUACCUCAUACUCUUCCAAGGCAGGAAAGGCAGAGUGAUCUGCUGCCCAGGUUCUGGCAUCCAUAGGAUUUUGUCCACCCUGUGUUAGUGAGAUAUUUCCACCCUGGCUGUCCAGAAUGGUGUCUCCAAGCUUGUCUGAUUGCAUGCUCCAUCAAUAAGACUUUUGAGCAUGCAUCCCGGUGUGCAUUUCUUUACUUCUAAAUUAUAGACAUGAACUCCUAUAUGGUAUGCAUGUUAUGAAGCAUACACAAAAAUAGAAAUUACAGAAGAAUGAGAUAAAAAUUAAGGUAUAAUAGAAAUUUUAUUAUUUCCUUCCAGUGGAGUUCCUUAUGCAGCCUAUAGGGUACAUGGGCCCCCUUUGAAGGUCCCAGGAGGUGGUAGGAAUCAUUUGGUGGUGACUAGCUGGACAGUCCAUUAUCAAACCACUCUUCUGUCAUCAGCAUAUGUGACAUCAGGAGCUUAGGUGAUAUUGGUUCAAUUCUCAUUCCAAAGUGGCAUGGGAAAGUCACCCGUCACCAAGGGAGUGAAGUGGUCUUACUAUAGUGGUGUAAGAUUUAAGCUUACCCCCAUGCCCAGGGGAUUAGCUGUUGUUUUCACAUACAAAUAAGCUCAAUUUUGGCCUACAGACAAAGGAAACAAAAGGAAAAGUGAGGAUAAUAGCUGUGAACUCAUUGGAAGAAAUAAGGUAGGGAGAGUCAUUAUAUAUAAUUUCUCAGGUUCUUCUUUCUCUUUCCAUUACUCCUGAAAGGCACUUUAAUGACACUAAUUACAUCUAUCUAUUAAGUAUUUUGUCUGAUCCUCUAUAAUUAAAUUGUGAUUAUUAGGGACAGAUAUAAGAAGGCUGAUUUUCCUCUGAUGGUUAUUUCCAGAAGAUUUGCUCAGUUUAAAAAUUGCUCCCUUUAAAAUUACUAUGUCUAGUUUUAGAGUGUCCAUGAAAUAGAAACAUUGACAUCUUUUGAGACUAUCUCAAAUCAUUAUGAUUCUUGGUUAUAGAAUUGAGUUCUAGAGAAUUGUGUGCAAUUACACAUGAACUUUGCCAAUGCUUUCCAGUUCAUUAUUUCUCUAAGUAGUAGUGGGAUUUUAGAAUGAUUAAAUUACUGUUAAGCUGUGGCCUCAUAGUUUUCUUAUGGACACAGUAUGUAAUGGUGGCGUCCUUGGCAUCUGUGUAAAGUAGCACCAAGAUGUCAUCGGUGCCAGUAACAUGCUUACUGCUAAAGAUUCAGGGAGAAGUUUUCAAAACAUAAUCAAGAGACAAAAGACCAUUGAAAUGUAUUACAAAGUAGUUUGAGAAAUCACCAUUCAUUCACUAGAUCAUAAGCUCCCUGAUGGUACAGAUUUUGUUUAGUUCAUUGUUAUAUCCCUAGUGCCUAAAAUUGUUCCUGGCACAGAGGAGGGAGGUGCUUAGUGAAUAUUGGUGGAAUGAAUGAAUGAAUUUAUAGAAGAUGCAAAGCCAAAAUAUUAUCAUCAGUAGAGAAUUAUAAAUUCGCCUAAGGAACAAAGAACCAACUAUCUUUGGGGGGGGGGCAGAAUGUAAGUGAGAUAAUUAUAAUUUUUUUAAAAUGAAUGAAUGGAGCAGAAAUGUUAAUGAGAAAUGAAAUUUUAAAAUUUCCUUUCAAGCUAUGCCAAAGGAAAGCUUGAUUGUGGCCCAAUGUUUAAUAUAUACAUUAGGAAGAGUAACACAUUUAAAAAAAAAAAAAAAGACUUUAUUUAUUUAUUUGACAGAAAGAGAAAGAGAGCACAUGCAGGGGGAGAGGGAGAAGCAGCGUCCCCGCUGAGCAGAGAGCCCGAUGCGGGGCUUGAUCCCAGGACCCUGAGAUCAUGACCUGAGCCGAAGGCAGACACUUAACCAACUGAGCCACCCAGGCGCCCUGAAAGAGUAAUACAUUCUUAUCAUAUAAUAAUGUUUAAAAAUUUGCUAAAAAUGCAUCUGAACUAAUAUGCAAAUUAUGGCUAUGGGUCAGGAGAUCUUGGAGUAAAACUGUCCGAGCAGAGGGUGAUUUGCCUCUGAGAGCUCCUGGACACAAGGGAAGGAGGAAUGGCAGCCCCUCCUUAUAGAUAUACACUGAGCACUGCACGGGGCCCUGAGGCUACAGAGCAGACACUGAAUUGGUCCAUGAACUCAAAGAUCUCAUAAUUAAGCAAAGCAGCAGGUGUGUGUUGGGGGGGUGGGGAAUGCCUAGGCUAGCAUGAAAAUGUGGACCAGUGUAGUAUCUGCACAGAGAGCUGGCGGGCUCUGGCGCAGGAGACCAGAACACGUGCACCCACGCAUCUGAGCGCACCUGCCACACAAGGAAGGAGGGGAAUGGCUUUUAAGGGGCAAUUGUGCCUGAGGCCAUCUGACACACAGGAUGGGCAUGAGAAAGCCUGAGUUAGUCGGCUCAGGCUGCCUUAACAGAAGAGCAGUCUGAGUGGCUUAGACAGCAGAAAUUUACUUUCUCACAGUCUGAAGGCUGAAAGUCAGCGAACCAGGUGCCGGUGGGGCUGGUUUCCUCGGAGGCCUCUCUCCGUGGCUGGCAGACGGCUGCCCUCUUGCUGCCUCUUCACGUGGUGGUCCCUCUGUGCACGCACAUCCCUGGUGUCUGUCUGUGUGUCCUGAUGUCUUCUUCUUAUAAGGACACCAGUCAGAUGGAAUUAGGGCCAUCCUCAGGGUCUCAUUUGAACUUAAUCACCUCUUUUUAAAGGUCCUAUCUCCAAACGCGGUCACAAUCAGAGGUACUGGGAUUAGGGCUUCAGCGUAUGAAUUUUAUGGGGAGGACAAUUUCAGCCCGUCACAGGAUGUAAAGUGACAGUUCUCAAAGUGUGAUGACAUGGACCUCUGGGCGUCUCCAAGGUCCUCUAGGGAGGUCUGCAAAAUCAAAAUUUUUAUCGUAAUAGUGCUAAAUGUUAGUUGCCGUUUUCACUGUGUUGCCAUUUGCUCUGAUGCUACACAAGGCGGGGGUGGGGGGUUGGGGAGUGUAAGCUGCUGUUGCCUUAAUCCAAAGCAUGGCACUGGCUCAGCCUGCCCCAGCAGUCAUAGAUUCUUCACUGCUGUCCUUGGUGGGUUAAAAAAAAAAGCGGCUAGUUUUUCCAUAAGAAUGUCCUUGGUAAAGCAGUAUAAACUAGUAAUUUUAUUAAAUCUUGACCUUUCACUAUGUCUCUUGACUAUUCUGUGUGACGAAACAGAAAGUGCACACAAAGCAUUUCUACUGCCAUCCAGCCACCAUGGUGACGUCAAGGAAAAGCACUUGUACAGUUGUUUGAGUUGUGGGCUGAACUAACUGCUUUCUUCAUGGGACACUCUUUGUACUUGGAAGAACAACUGGCAACUAUGGUUAUUCAGACGUGAUGGCUUGGUAGAAUUUUCUUAAAAAUGAACCAAGUGAGCUUGUCACACCAAGGAAAAGCAACCGACAGUAUUUGUUUCCUUUGAGCUUUUAUAAGCAAAAAUUAGAUUUAGAAAAAUCUUGUAUCAGGCAUCAUAAGUUUGACAGCUUCCUAGUGCUUAAAGGCUUUUCAGAUGAGAUUGGUGCUGAAAUCAUGUAAUGAAAUGGGUCAUUGGAAGAUCUCCACAACUCAGUGAACCAGUAUUUUCCAAAUAGUUAUAAAUGAUGUUAUAAAAUUAUGCAUGGGCAUGAAUGAAAGAUCAUCCAAAGUGCAAGAUGGACCAAUAGACUAAUGCAACUGACAGGAAAUUUCACUGAUAUGGUUUCGGAUCCCACAUUACAGCUAACUUUAAGAAAUUGUUCUUGUCUACUUUUGGUGAGGUUUAAAGAAGAAUAUCCACAAUUGUAUGAAAAAGCUAUGAAUAUUCUCCUCUCUCUUCCAAACACAUAUCUGUACGAGGCCAGACCUUUCCCCCUACAUACUUAAAGUAAAACAACAUAUUACAACAGAGUGAAUGCAGUAGUUGUAAGAAACCAGCUGUUUGAUAUUAAAGAGAUGUGAAGCCUGAUAUUGAAGAGAUUUGCAAAAAUGUAAAACAAUGCCACUUUUCUCAUUAACUGUUUUUGGUUUUGGAAAAUACAGCUAUUCUUCAUAAACGUAUGUCAUUUAUGUUAACAAAUGAUGGAUUUAUUAUUGCUUUUAAAUGGUUUAAUCCUUUUAAAAACUGUAAUACAAUAAAUAACUAUGGGGCUAUAGCUCACAUAAGCCAGAGCCCUUUGGAGUUCCAACAACUUUUAACAGUAUAAAGAGCUUGGGGUGCCUGGGUGGCUCAGUUGGUUAAGCGUCUGCCUUCAGCUCAGGUCAUGAUCUCAGGGUCCUGGGAUCAAGCUCUGUGUGGGGCUCCCUGCUCAGCAGGGAGUCUGCUUCUCCCUUUCCCUCUGUCCCUCCCCCCCCUUGUGCUCACUCUCUCAUAUAAAUAAACAAAACCUUAAAAAAAUAAAAUAAAAAUAUAAAUAAAAAAAUAAAAAAUGUUUUAUCAACAUGGGCCGAUGUGAUCCAGGACCAGGCCUUUGGGCUAAGAUGAGAAAAGGAAGCAAAGAGAGGCUCAAAAUCUACAUACUGAGAAGUGGAAGAUGCUUUUAAUUAGAAAGAAUAGGAUGAAACUUUGAAAGACCUGGAAAAUUAAGGGACUGAGCCAAAACUAAUCUUAAAAUUUGAGCUGGAAGAGAGCUUAAACAUUAUUGAGUCUCAUGAUGCUAUUUUAGGAUGAGGAAUUUAGAUGAGGAAUCUCAGGCCCAGGGAUACGGUGACUUGCCCAAGGACACAUGUCAAUUUGUGGUAGAUGGGACUCUAGAUUCCCAGCAAAGACAGUCAUUCAUUCUUACCUCACACCGCCAAGAUCAAAUUGGGACCUGUUGCAAGAAGGAACACAAGCAAAAAAAAAAACAAAAAAAGAAGGAACACAAGUCAUUAUAGCCCCUGGGUGUGAAGAGUGACAUUCAUUCCAUUCAGUUACCAGGGAAAUGAUGAAAGCAUUGUUUCAGAAACAUUCACCAGGAAGAGGAAUGCAGGAAGACCUUUGAACUAGGUGUCUCAGUCCAUUCAGGUUCCAAUAACAAAGUUCCAGAGAUUGGGUGACUUAUAAACAACAGAUGUUUAUCUUUCACAGUUCUAGAAGCUGGAAGUCCAUGAUCGAAGUGGUGGCAGCUUCCAUGUCUGGUGAGGGUCUGCUUCUUGGUUCAUAGAUAGCCAUUUCCUCCCUGUGUCCUGACGCGGCAGAAGGAGGGAGGGAGCUCUCUGGGUCUCACAAAAGGGCACUAGUCCAAUUCAUGAAGCUCCAUCCUCAGGACCUAAUCACUUCCCAAAGGCCUGCCUCCUUUUUUUUUUUCUUCCAAAUUUUUAUUUAGAUUCUAGUUAGUUAACAUCUAGUGUAAUAUUGGUUUCAGGAGUAGAAUUUAGUGAUUCAUCACUUACACAUGACACCCAGUGCUCAUCAUAACAACACCCCUCCUUUAUGCCCAUCACCAAUGUAGCCCAUCCCCCACCCUCCUUUCUCCGUCAACCCUCAGUUGGUUCACUAUCAUGAAGAGUCUGUUACGGUUUGCUUCCCUGUCUCUCUCUCUCUCUCUCUUUUUUUCCCCUUACCCUAUGUUCAUCUGUUUUGUUUCCUAAAUUCCACAUGUGAGUGAAAUCAUAUGGUAUUUGUCUUUCUCUGAUUUACUUCACUUAGCAUAAUACAUUAGUUCCAUCUACAUCAUUGUAAAUGGCAAGAUUUCUUCUUUCUGUUGGCUGAGUCAUAUUCUGUUGUAUAUGUACACCACAUCUUCUUUAUCCAUUCAUCAGUCCAUGGACACUUGGGCUCUUUCCAUAGUUUGGCUAUUGUUGAUAAUGCUGUUAUAAACAUUGGGGUGCAUAUACCCCUUUGAAUCUGUAUUUUUGACCUAAUCACAUCCCAAAGGCCCCACCUCAUAAUACCAUCCCAUUGGGGAUUAGGAUUUCAACGUAAGAAUUUGGGGGGGGACAAACAUUCGGUCUAUGGCACUAGGGUUAGACAGACGGUUGAAGUCCUCAACUCUGAUGCUGGCAGUGGGACUGGAGAGGAAGAGUUAAAUCGGAAACAUAGGAAUCAGUGACAGGUUGGAAAUUGAGAUACAGCCUCAGAAGCACUCAUAAAUGACCUCCGAGGCUUCUAGUCUCCCGUGUUUGAAGCUUAGCUGUCUUCUGAUUGCACCUCAUUCAACAACUGGUUAUAAUUCUUCAUAAACCUCACAACAAUUUUUUUUCAGUUAAAUUCCACAAAAAUAUAUUGUUUAACUGCCUUCUGCAUCCAUUUUUGCUUUUCUCCUAAAUUGCUUCCUGUUCUUUGACCUAUGGUACCAUCUAUAUCACUAAGAAUGUCCAUAGGACAGUUACACAUCAAUGAGGUGAAGAAUUAAGAUAAAUAGUCGGUUAAUUUAAAGAACACUUUGCAUGACUGUUUCCUGAAGGCUUCUGGGGAAGGCAGUGGGCUGGCUCUUCUGAGUGGUUACCUCAGUUCUGCAUUCACCCAAUCCCCCCAACACUGAGGCCCACUUUGGAGAUAACAUCACGAGGAUCCUGAAGUGAAAACAAACAAAAUCCUGUAUUUAUAUCGAACAUCACCAAAGCCGUAUUGCACAGUAGUCAACUAGUGAAAAGGGAGCUCUAGAAUCAGAGCAUCCUAGGAUACUCUCCGUGCAAACCGCUGCACUUUUUAUUCUAAUGCUGACAGCAUGCACUGCACACAUCAUUGCUUUGCAUUUUGUAACUUUUAUAAGCCUUAUUUUGGAUACAAAUCAAUGUCUGGAAUGUCCAGAAUGUAGCAGUACUAAUGAAGAUUAGGAAGGCUGUGUGGUAAGGAACUUUUUAAAAUCUAUGCAAGAUGCUCUUCCGUCAUGCACACUGGUUUCCCGGGUUUAUUUCUCAGUAGAAGAUUCGAAGUAGAUUUCAGUAAUUGUUUCAUGCUUUUACACAGUAUCUUGGUAACACGAGGCAUUUACCUUGUCAUAUGCACUGAGAUCAGAAGUUUGCUCUUGAAUGCCCUGUUCAGUAUAGUGGCCCCCAACUAUAUGUGGCUAUUCAAAUUUAAACUUGUAUCAGGUAGAAUUAAAUAAGAUUUAAAAUCCAGCCAGCCCGCUUUUCACUGCUCAGUACCUCACAUGACUAACGACUGCCAUAUCGGAGCGCGCAGAUAGAGACUAUUUCUCUUACUGCUGGAAGCUCUAUGGAGCAAUAGUUAUCUAGGACAUAAUCUGUGGUUUUCAUUUUUUAAAUAUAUGGCUGUAGAAAAAUCAUACCCGACUUUUAAAGAACGUUAAUAAUUUGAAAAAUUGCAUACAAAAUGAAUUUUUGUUUUGGAAUUCUGUUUACAAAUUCAUGUUUUUAAAGUAAUUAAAAUGAAUACAGCCCAAAGCAUGUACUUGCAGAGGAGCUUUCUUCCAAGUUGCUUAUUCUCCCGGGCCAACAUUCAUUUAUUCAUUCACAAAAUAUUUACCGAGUGCCAGGCACUCUUCUGGGCUCUGGAACAACAUAAAUAAAUGCCUGGCCUCAUGGAGCUUACGUUGUGCCCAGUGGGAUGAGAGGCAAAUAUUAUUUCUGUUUUCAGGGCCAGACACAAAGGUAUUAUGUGCCAAACCAGUGAACAAAAUGAGAAUAUUCCAGUUCCUACUUUGUUGUUCAUUGAGAAGUCAUAGAAAGAGGCAAAUAUUAAGAAUAUAACUUCUGGGGCACCUGGGUGGCUCAGUCAGUUAAGUGUCCAACGCUUGAUUUCAACUCAGGUCAUGAUCUCAGGGUUGUGAGAUUGAGCCCCACGUUGGGCUCCACUGGGUGUGGAAGCUUCUUGGGGAUUCUCUCUCUCCCUCUCCCUCUGCCCCUCCCUCUGCUCUCUCCCUCUCUUUAAAAAAAAAAAAAUCAUUGAGUUCCUGAUCUCUCUUUCCUCGGCUAAGGAAAGUAUGUAAAUCUUGUAAAUAAAGGGUUUGCUCUGUUUAAAAAACAAAGAAUAUAACUUCUGAUUUUGAACUAUAGUCCCAUCAUCAAAAACAGGCCUUGCAAAAAAUUUUCAAAUAUUAUUUCUGAAAAACCAUGUUUGCCUGACAAAGCAGGUGAAGAACUUAUACACAGUUUCCAAUGUCACCAUCUUCCUUCAUGGAAUCAGAGUAUCUACAUUUGGAAGUGGUUUAGCUGCUUCUGUUCCAGCUUUCCUCCUGCAACAUCCAGCCAUGAAACCACUUCAUCUCUAGCUGAGCACUUCGGGUAGCAGAAAGCUCGCUGACUUAACAGACAGCAAGGGUAUGUUUUCAUCAGUCCCAACUUUCUUUAGUAUUAGUAUUAGAAUUAGUAUUAGUAUUACGGUAUCACAUAUCCGUAGUUCAAAGUUUAGGAAUAACAGAUAAAAACAAAAAUGUUAAAUUAGUUGUAUUCCUGCAACCCAGAGAGAUAACUACCAUCAGCAAUUUGAGAUAUAGUCUUCACGAAUUUCUCUGUGUCUGUCUCUAUCUCUAUCUCUCUACAUGCUUACAAAAUAAAUUUCUAUUAAAUUAAAGUUGUGCCAUUUGUAUCCUGCUUUUUCUAUUUAACCAUAUGGCACAAACAUUUUUUUUUUUUUUAAGAUUUUACCUAUUUAUAUGACAGAGAGAGAGCACAAGUAGGCAGAGUGACAGGCAGAUAGAGAGGGAGAAACAGGCUCUCCGCCGAGCAGGGAGCUGGAUGUGGGCUCGAUCCCAAGACCCCAGGAUCAUGACCUGAGCCGAAAGCAGCCGCUCAACGGACUGAGCCACCCAGGCGCCCCUGGCACAAACAUAUUUUCAUUCAAAUAAGUGUGACUCUACAGCACCAUUUUAACAGCCGUAUAAUUUUCCAUUCAGUGAAAAUAGAUAUAUAUGAAUAUCUAGAGAUAUCAUGAUUUAUGUAGAAAGUUCAUGUUGUUCGAAAUGUUUCAUUAUUAUAACCAAUAUCGUGUUGAACAUCCAUGUACACAUAUCUUCGGGAUGCUGAUAAAUUUCAGUGAACAAAAUCUAGAAACGAGACUCUAGAUUCUAGAGUGAAAGUUUCUACACAUAUGUAAGACUUUCAUGCAUAUUACCAAAUUCUCUCCCAGAAAAAUUGUGCCUGCAGCAGCGAGAAUGCCCAGCUCCCAAAGCCCUAGCCCAUGAUACUGUUCUUGAGGGACUUUCACCUUUCCUCUAUUUUUUACUCAUUGGUUCCCAGCUUGCUCCCGGGACAAACUUUCUACUGUUUGAAUAAAACCAUCAUGUCCUGCAAAGUCUCCUCCUUUUUAGACUUAAUAUCCCCCCAAUAUGGAUUAAUAAAUUAUUGUCAACCUGGAACCUGCAGGAUCAAUAAUUCUGUCCUUGAUCUUUUACGGCUCAACAUUCUAAUAGAUGACUUGGAGGAUCUGCACGCUUGCAGAUUCUGCUCAACAUUUAUUUAGUGCCUACCAAAUGCCAGGCGUGAUGCCUUGUUCUUAGGACGUAAAUACAAAUGAGCUCUCUUCCCAGCCCUGGAGGAGCUCUUAGAGCCAUCCAGAUGGAGAAGUAAGUGAUGCGGCUCGACCUACUGAUUUCCAACAUGGCACGUGUGGUAACCAGUAUUUGUGACAGAGGGGCACCAGACGUCCCUGUCCCUUUCACAGGGCUGCCACACAGCGACUGGGAGACUCUGCUCUGGUCAACGGCAUGUCAGGCCCUGUUCGCCAGGACAGUGCCAUAGAAAUCCUUUUUUGAAGUGUCACGCCCUUUCGCCCAGUAUGGCCACAGCAGAAGCAUGUCUCCAAUACGCUGGGACACUUGUGUCCUGUGGCUUAGCUCUGGCUCUCCCUCCUUCCGACAAUUUCCCAAGAGACGUUUUGUCGGCGAAUACAAAACCAAACGCAUUUUGAAGAGUUUUAGGACCCAGUCACUUUAAACUUAAAGAAGAUAAGCGGCUUCACAUCCUUUUGGGAGGGGAAUCAAGCAGGGCAUAAGUACGCAAGACGGUAAAUCCGAAAGUCCGCUGUGAAAGAUAAAUUAGGCUGGGAACAGAGAAAGCAAUGCUCCAAACUCUAAAACAUCCAGCACUUCGUGAUUGACGGAUGAUUCUGUUACUAAUAAUUACGAAUAUUAAUCCAGAACUUUCUUG